GUGGGGAAUAUUGGACAAUGGGCGAAAGCCUGAUCCAGCCAUGCCGCGUGUGUGAAGAAGGUCUUCGGAUUGUAAAGCACUUUAAGUUGGGAGGAAGGGUAGUAACCUAAUACGUUGCUACUUUGACGUUACCGACAGAAUAAGCACCGGCUAACUUCGUGCCAGCAGCCGCGGUAAUACGAAGGGUGCAAGCGGUAAUCGGAAUUACUGGGCGUAAAGCGCGCGUAGGUGGUUCAGUAAGUUGGAAGUGAAAUCCCCGGGCUCAACCUGGGAACUGCUUUCAAAACUGCUGAGCUAGAGUACGGUAGAGGGUGGUGGAAUUUCCUGUGUAGCGGUGAAAUGCGUAGAUAUAGGAAGGAACACCAGUGGCGAAGGCGACCACCUGGACUGAUACUGACACUGAGGUGCGAAAGCGUGGGGAGCAAACAGGAUUAGAAACCCCAGUAGUCC
rnacentral:rRNA from 1 species